GCCUGGCUGGCUCAGUCGGUAUAGCAUGUGACUCUUGAUCUCAGGGCUGUGAGUUCAAGCCCCACGUUGGGUA
rnacentral:tRNA from 1 species